rnacentral:tRNA from 1 species
GAGGGAGUAGCUUAAGUGGUGGAGUGCAUGCUUGGCAUGCAGGAGGUCCUGGGUUCAAUCCCCAGUCCCUCA